rnacentral:misc_RNA from 1 species
UUGUAUUGUGGGAUUGCGAAUUUAAAUCUUUAACUACACUCAGUAAUUUACAUUUACAGAUAACCCAGAUUGUAGAACAACGUUUUCCUUGCAGAACAAAGUAGUUUCUCAAGUUAGUCAUUUCGAUCAUAUUUAUGGGGUGGUCUUCAGUCUUCAGUCUUCUUGAAUAUAACAAGGCACAAUGCAGAGGAUUCCAACUAGCAAGCUAUUCUCUCGGGAGUCUCGACUAGAAACCCCAUCAAACGCCUUGUACAUGUAUGGCAAGUUAGGACAAAAACUAGAUUGAGCAAGCAUGAAAUAAACGAAAGAGAAAGGGGCUGGGGAGAUGGAGGGUGAAUGAACCUUUCCCAAAUCCAAAAUGACUUGGAGGAGAGGACCCUACAAGCAAAUGGCAGCAUCAGCAUUUGCCUAAUACUACCAGAUCUAUUGAUUCCUGACAAGUCAACCCACGGCAAGAAGGUAAGGGACUCAUUGACUUUGCACCACCUCUUCAUAUGUGCAAAAUCAUUUUACUUCCAACAAAAAACCAUUUCAGAAACUCUGAAACUGUCUCCAUCUCUCCUUUUCUCUCUAAGCUAGCUAUACCAUGCGCCACAGCAUCUUCUUCCUCUCCCUCCCUCUCACAUUUGCACAUGAGAUAGAGAUUCCACAUGGGUUCUUAAAAGCCAGCAUUUCUAUUCCGUUGCCAUGCUUGGUCGCUAGUGUUUUUGGUCCUUGUAAGGAAAAUACUCAGCAUCCCUAACAUUAGACUUUGCUCAAAUUGAGAAGUACAUCUACGUACAAUUAGAAUAAGCUUGGACAUUUUUUUCAUCUUAAUUUACCAAGAACAAAUAUGCAAAUUCCCUUAGG